rnacentral:rRNA from 1 species
UAAGGAAUAUUGGUCAAUGGACGGAAGUCUGAACCAGCCAUCCCGCGUGCAGGAUGAAGGUCCUAUGGAUUGUAAACUGCUUUUAGCAGAGACGAAACGCCGACAUUUAUGUUGGUCUGACGGUAUCUGCGGAAUAAGCACCGGCUAACUCCGUGCCAGCAGCCGCGGUAAUACGGAGGGUGCAAGCGUUAUCCGGAAUCACUGGGUUUAAAGGGUGCGUAGGCGGAUGAUUAAGUCAGUGGUGAAAGCUGGUCGCUUAACGAUCAAACUGCCAUUGAUACUGAUUGUCUUGAAUUGGGUUGAGGUUAGCGGAAUGUGACAUGUAGCGGUGAAAUGCAUAGAUAUGUCAUGGAACACCAAUUGCGAAGGCAGCUAACUGGGCCUUGAUUGACGCUGAGGCACGAAAGCGUGGGUAGCGAACAGG